rnacentral:lncRNA from 1 species
CACACACAAAUCAGAUUAUAUGUUCAACACAUGAACAAUCUGAUUUUUGGACAAGCAUCUCAUGCUUUCUAUUUUCACUCUUCCCUUCCUUUCUAUUUUUCUCUCCCUUUUUUCUUGUCUUUUCCUCAAAUUUUUUUCAUCAUUUUUUUCUCAUUUCCAUGCCAACUCUCAACCCAAUUUGGCAUGUUAAGCUUGGUUGUAGC